rnacentral:rRNA from 1 species
AGAGUUUGAUCCUGGCUCAGGAUGAACGCUGACAGAAUGCUUAACACAUGCAAGUCUACUUGAACUUCGGUUUGGGUGGCGGACGGGUGAGUAACGCGUAAAGAACUUGCCUCACAGCUAGGGACAACAUUUGGAAACGAAUGCUAAUACCUGAUAUUAUGAUUUUAGGGCAUCCUAAGAUUAUGAAAGCUAUAUGCGCUGUGAGAGAGCUUUGCGUCCCAUUAGCUAGUUGGAGAGGUAACGGCUCACCAAGGCGAUGAUGGGUAGCCGGCCUGAGAGGGUGAACGGCCACAAGGGGACUGAGACACGGCCCUUACUCCUACGGGAGGCAGCAGUGGGGAAUAUUGGACAAUGGACCAAAAGUCUGAUCCAGCAAUUCUGUGUGCACGAUGACGUUUUUCGGAAUGUAAAGUGCUUUCAGUUGGGAAGAAAAAAAUGACGGUACCAACAGAAGAAGUGACGGCUAAAUACGUGCCAGCAGCCGCGGUAAUACGUAUGUCACAAGCGUUAUCCGGAUUUAUUGGGCGUAAAGCGCGUCUAGGUGGUUAUGUAAGUCUGAUGUGAAAAUGCAGGGCUCAACUCUGUAUUGCGUUGGAAACUGCAUGACUAGAGUACUGGAGAGGUAAGCGGAACUACAAGUGUAGAGGUGAAAUUCGUAGAUAUUUGUAGGAAUGCCGAUGGGGAAGCCAGCUUACUGGACAGAUACUGACGCUGAAGCGCGAAAGCGUGGGUAGCAAACAGGAUUAGAUACCCUGGUAGUCCACGCCGUAAACGAUGAUUACUAGGUGUUGGGGGUCGAACCUCAGCGCCCAAGCAAACGCGAUAAGUAAUCCGCCUGGGGAGUACGUACGCAAGUAUGAAACUCAAAGGAAUUGACGGGGACCCGCACAAGCGGUGGAGCAUGUGGUUUAA